UACGGGGGGGGCAAGCGUUGUUCGGAAUUACUGGGCGUAAAGGGCGAGUAGGUGGCCAUCUAAGUCAGACGUGAAAUCCCCCGGCUUAACCUGGGAACUGCGUCUGAUACUGGACGGCUUGAGUAUGGGAGAGGAACGUAGAAUUCCAGGUGUAGCGGUGAAAUGCGUAGAUAUCUGGAGGAAUACCGGUGGCGAAGGCGGCGUUCUGGACCAUUACUGACACUGAAUCGCGAAAGCUAGGGGAGCAAACGGG
rnacentral:rRNA from 1 species